rnacentral:rRNA from 1 species
AAAUUGAAGAGUUUGAUCAUGGCUCAGAUUGAACGCUGGCGGCAGGCCUAACACAUGCAAGUCGAGCGGUAGCACAGAGAGCUUGCUCUCGGGUGACGAGCGGCGGACGGGUGAGUAAUGUCUGGGAAACUGCCUGAUGGAGGGGGAUAACUACUGGAAACGGUAGCUAAUACCGCAUAAUGUCGCAAGACCAAAGUGGGGGACCUUCGGGCCUCAUGCCAUCAGAUGUGCCCAGAUGGGAUUAGCUAGUAGGUGGGGUAACGGCUCACCUAGGCGACGAUCCCUAGCUGGUCUGAGAGGAUGACCAGCCACACUGGAACUGAGACACGGUCCAGACUCCUACGGGAGGCAGCAGUGGGGAAUAUUGCACAAUGGGCGCAAGCCUGAUGCAGCCAUGCCGCGUGUGUGAAGAAGGCCUUCGGGUUGUAAAGCACUUUCAGCGGGGAGGAAGGCGGUGAGGUUAAUAACCUCAUCGAUUGACGUUACCCGCAGAAGAAGCACCGGCUAACUCCGUGCCAGCAGCCGCGGUAAUACGGAGGGUGCAAGCGUUAAUCGGAAUUACUGGGCGUAAAGCGCACGCAGGCGGUCUGUCAAGUCGGAUGUGAAAUCCCCGGCUCAACCGGGAACUGCAUUCGAAACUGGCAGGCUAGAGUCUUGUAGAGGGGUAGAAUUCCGUGUAGCGGUGAAAUGCGUAGAGAUCUGGAGGAAUACCGGUGGCGAAGGCGGCCCCCUGGACAAAGACUGACGCUCAGGUGCGAAAGCGUGGGGAGCAAACAGGAUUAGAUACCCUGGUAGUCCACGCCGUAAACGAUGUCGAUUUGGAGGUUGUGCCCUUGAGGUGUGGCUUCCGGAGCUAACGCGUUAAAUCGACCGCCCGGGAGUACGGCCGCAAGGUUAAAACUCAAAUGAAUUGACGGGGGCCCGCACAAGCGGUGGAGCAUGUGGUUUAAUUCGAUGCAACGCGAAGAACCUUACCUGGUCUUGACAUCCACAGAACUUUCCAGAGAUGGAUUGGUGCCUUCGGGAACUGUGAGACAGGUGCUGCAUGGCUGUCGUCAGCUCGUGUUGUGAAAUGUUGGGUUAAGUCCCGCAACGAGCGCAACCCUUAUCCUUUGUUGCCAGCGGUCCGGCCGGGAACUCAAAGGAGACUGCCAGUGAUAAACUGGAGGAAGGUGGGGAUGACGUCAAGUCAUCAUGGCCCUUACGACCAGGGCUACACACGUGCUACAAUGGCAUAUACAAAGAGAAGCGACCUCGCGAGAGCAAGCGGACCUCAUAAAGUAUGUCGUAGUCCGGAUUGGAGUCUGCAACUCGACUCCAUGAAGUCGGAAUCGCUAGUAAUCGUAGAUCAGAAUGCUACGGUGAAUACGUUCCCGGGCCUUGUACACACCGCCCGUCACACCAUGGGAGUGGGUUGCAAAAGAAGUAGGUAGCUUAACCUUCGGGAGGGCGCUUACCACUUUGUGAUUCAUGACUGGGGUGAAGUCGUAACAAGGUAACCGUAGGGGAACCUGCGGUUGGAUCACCUCCUUACCUUAAAGAA